rnacentral:rRNA from 1 species
CAGUAGCCGCGGGAAUACAGAGGGUGCAAGCGUUAAUCGGAAUUACUGGGCGUAAAGCGCGCGUAGGUGGUUUGUUAAGUUGGAUGUGAAAUCCCCGGGCUCAACCUGGGAACUGCAUCCAAAACUGGCAAGCUAGAGUAUGGUAGAGGGUGGUGGAAUUUCCUGUGUAGCGGUGAAAUGCGUAGAUAUAGGAAGGAACACCAGUGGCGAAGGCGACCACCUGGACUGAUACUGACACUGAGGUGCGAAAGCGUGGGGAGCAAACAGGAUUAGAGACCCCUGUAGUCCCUGUAUCUUAUAC